AUUGAACGCUGGCGGCAGGCCUAACACAUGCAAGUCGAACGAGUGGCGGACGGGUGAGUAAUGUCUGGGAACCUGCCUGAUGGAGGGGGAUAACUACUGGAAACGGUAGCUAAUACCGCAUACCAUCGGAUGUGCCCCGAUGGGCUUAGCUAGUGGGUGGGGUAACGGCUCACCUAGGCGCCGAUCCCUAGCUGGUCUGAGAGGAUGACCAGCCACACUGGAACGGAGACACGGUCCAGAUUGCUACGGGAGGCAGCAGUGGGGAAGAUGGCACGAAGGGGGCAAGCCUGAUGCAGCCAUGCCGCGUGUAUGAAGAAGGCCUGCGGGUUGUAAAGUACUUGCAGCGGGGAGGCGUUACCCGCAGAAGAAGCACCGGCUAACUCCGUGCCAGCAGCCGCGGUAAUUC
rnacentral:rRNA from 1 species